GUGCCUAACACAUGCAAGUCGAACGAGAAAUCCCGGGCUUGCUCGGGAGAGUAAAGUGGCGCACGGGUGAGUAACACGUGGGUAACCUGCCCUUAAAUUUGGGAUAACUUCGCGAAAGCGACGCUAAUACCAGAUAUGGUUAUUUUAACUUCGGUUUUAAUAAUCAAAGGUGACCUCUUCAUGAAAGUUGCCGUUUUUGGAUGGGCUCGCGUACCAUUAGCUUGUUGGUGGGGUAAUGGCCUACCAAGGCUACGAUGGUUAGCUGGUCUGAGAGGAUGAUCAGCCACACUGGAACUGAAACACGGUCCAGACUCCUACGGGAGGCAGCAGUGAGGAAUUU
rnacentral:rRNA from 1 species